rnacentral:rRNA from 1 species
AGCAACCUGCCCUGGACUCUGGGAUAAGCGCUGGAAACGGCGUCUAAUACUGGAUAUGAGCUCCUUCCGCAUGGUGGGGGUUGGAAAGAUUUUUCGGUCUGGGAUGGGCUCGCGGCCUAUCAGCUUGUUGGUGAGGUAAUGGCUCACCAAGGCGUCGACGGGUAGCCGGCCUGAGAGGGUGACCGGCCACACUGGGACUGAGACACGGCCCAGACUCCUACGGGAGGCAGCAGUGGGGAAUAUUGCACAAUGGGCGGAAGCCUGAUGCAGCAACGCCGCGUGAGGGAUGACGGCCUUCGGGUUGUAAACCUCUUUUAGCAGGGAAGAAGCGAAAGUGACGGUACCUGCAGAAAAAGCGCCGGCUAACUACGUGCCAGCAGCCGCGGUAAUACGUAGGGCGCAAGCGUUAUCCGGAAUUAUUGGGCGUAAAGAGCUCGUAGGCGGUUUGUCGCGUCUGCUGUGAAAUCCCGAGGCUCAACCUCGGGCCUGCAGUGGGUACGGGCAGACUAGAGUGCGGUAGGGGAGAUUGGAAUUCCUGGUGUAGCGGUGGAAUGCGCAGAUAUCAGGAGGAACACCGAUGGCGAAGGCAGAUCUCUGGGCCGUAACUGACGCUGAG